CAUUGUUUAUUUACUAUUGUAACCCAAAUAUAUAAAAAUGUUAUUUUUAAAAUAAUAAUUACAUAUCCACGGUAUUAACGAACAACAAAUUUUUUUGGAGAGAACUAUAUGUUUACCUAUGUAUUAUGUAUAAACUAUAAAUACCAAUAACUAUAAUAAAACAACAAAAAAUUUAGUGGACCAAUAAAUAAUGGAGUUAUCAAAAUGGAUCAAAUUAGCAAAUUAAAUAAUGUGGCACAAUUCUAUAGUAACAGUUUUUUUUCCAGGAAAAAAAAACUCGUUAAACCUAACAAAUUAAUGUUUUUUCUAUCAAUCUCUCUCUCUGUCGGCAAGAUGAUCUUUCAUCUUCUCACCUAAAUCAUUACGAUAUACCCUCUGAAAAUUCCAUCGAUGAAGAUGUUUCUAUUUAAUCAAGAUUCAGCCUCGUAAUUAUGAUGGUUUAAGAUAGCAGAUCGAGAAAAUAUCUCAAGUACUUGUUCCACAUGACAGUCUUCAUAGCUUCCACCUCGUCCAUCAAUUCUGAUCUUCUUCAAAUAUGUUAUUCGUGACCAUCAAUACAGUGUUGGUUCAGACAAUCACCAAAGAGAACAUAACAUCAGCUCGAAGAUGCGCCAAGGCGAGUAUACUACAGCUCGAUGACGUUACAUUGCUCAAACACCUUGUACAAAAUCACGGUGGUUUUAGUGACCUGAAACCUGAAGAAUACUAUGAUUAGACUCCGAGAUUGUGCGUACUUAGAAGGAAAAUGUGACCGAAACUGAGGAAGAGAGUAUGGUGUGAGGCUAAUUUACUGGUCGGUGGCAGAGAACAAAGCACGGAUCAAGUCUUUAGAACAAAGUGAAGGUUAUUGAUAUACAUGCUUUCUCUCUAUCAUCGUUUGUCACAUUGAUAUGCAAAGAUUAUUAGUUCUUAAAAUCAUAUAAUUUAGAAUCCUAUCAAAUUAGAGUUGAGCUUAAACUCUGGUAUAUCAAUAGUGUUUAGGUUAUGUUUGCUUCUAGUAUAAGUCUCGUUGAAUACUUGUGAUUGCAAUAGUCCUUUCUAUGCAGUUCUCUCGCAACCUUGAAAACUUGUGAUUGCAACUGAAAAAACCAAAUUUAUUAAAUAGAAUGGCAUGCACUAUUAUAGGAAUGAAGUUGUUCGGCAAUAAAUUACAAUGUGCCUAAAAACAGAAAAUGAUUUCAGUCUAGAUAACUUCUGAAAGUAGAGUCCUUAUCCUUGCUGCUAUAAAAUCUGCAAUGAGCAAAAAAUUUCUUAGACUACAGCAACAUCCAUUUGAGGAAUAUAAGCUAAUACAAACUAUAGUUGCAUCCACGGUAAAAUUGUUACAAAUAAAAUAGUUCAGGGAAAGUUAAUAUUCAAAAGACAUACCUCAUCACUCCCUUUGUUCAAGAUUGUUGAAAAUCUCUUUAAAAACAACAUUCAUGGUUUUUUUCUGAGGCUUGCCAUCUUUGUCCAAAAUCAAUAUUUUCAAACCUUUCUUUGACGUCACUCUAGAAAUUGCCACGUAUAGCUGUCCAUGUGAAAAGACCGGUCUUGGCAGAAAGAGCCCAACUUCUAAUAAUGAUUGUCCUUGGCUUUUGUUUAUAGUUAUAGCAAAAGCCACAGCUAAAGGCAAUUGCCGUCUGCGCAUUUUAAAAGGCAAUCUAGUAUCUGAUGGUGUUAUCAGCAAUCACAGAAUAUAUACUAUCUCUCCAACUCUUUCUCCAGUGAUGAUUCUAGCCUCAACCAUAAAAUCCAUUUGCUGAGUGAUCUACAGCCUCGUUCCAUUCAUUAAUCCUUUUGUAGGAGCAAUAUUCCUUAGAACCAUAACAUGACAACCAACCUUGAGUCUAAGACUGUGGUUUGGUAAUCCAAACACCUUAAUAGUUUUUAGGAAAUCAGGACCAAGAGCUUCAUCACCUAUUGAAAUUUUAUCUAUUGGGUCAAUACUAUCUGCGCUGAUGUAUAUCUUUUCCUCACCUGGAAUGACAAUUUUUAAUCAGCACAGAAUUCCUCAAAACAAAAAAGAUUUUCGUUAGUUAAGGAGUAAAAACGGAAUCUUACCAUCAAGCUUAUCUAACAAGUAUUCAUUUAUCAUGUUGACAUCUUCAUUAGUAGGACAUAGAAUAGCUCUCUCUUGGAAAAAUUUAGGUUCUUUGUUUUCUUGUAACGAAGCAUUAUCCCCAUACACAGCUUUGCAAAUGGCUUCUUUAGGAUCAUCCGAAUCCAUAUUCAAAAACUCUUCAGGAAUAUCGAUCUCAGCUUCACCAUCGUUAGGCUAUGCAAUUUUACCUUCUCCAACCUUUAAGAUCCACUCAGAGAAUUCCUUAAGUUCUUGUAUCUCUUAUGGUGUCAAAUCACCAGACAAUAAUCGCAUGUUCUUUGUGAGUUUGAAGACUUUACAGUGCUCCCAAAGAUGAGAAGAGUUCAGUGCGGCCAAAAAAAUUUCAUCCCUUCCAGCUCCAUGUAUUACAGGUAGAACCUGUCGAAAAUCACCUCCAAUCACUACAACCUUCCCACCAAAAGGUGUAGUUAUAUGCUUCCCCAUAAUAUCAUACAUGCUCCUAUCUAGAGCUUCAAAACAAUGCUUACUCAUCAUAGGGGCCUCAUCCCAUAUAAUGAGUGAUGCUUCUUUUACUAAAUUAGCUUGAUCUGAUCUAGGAGCCAUAGUACACGAAGAAAACUCAUCAGGGCUAAGUUGUAUGCCAAAUCUUGAAUGAGCAGUUCUUCCUCCUUGUAACAACAAAGAGGCGAUUCCACUUGAUGCAACAUUAAGAACAAUAUCUCCUUUAGAACGAAUAGCUACAGAUAUUAAUUUCCAAAGGAAAGUUUUCCCGGUACCACCAAAUCCGUAAACAAAAAACAUUCCACCUCUUUCUUCAUUCACGGCAUCCAGAAUUUCAUCAAAAAAAUUCCCCUGUUCAUCCGUCAUCUUCUGAACGUCUCUAUCAAGAGUUUCUACCAGUGCUUGACGAUCAUAACUCCGCUCAUCUAAUAUCAGAACAUUUGAAUCAGUAUCGUCUGUAGGAGGAAGUUGUGGCAUAGAAGUAAAGUUUGCAAGAGAAGUUCCAUUUCGCCUCAGAUGCUUCUCAAUUUCUUGUAAAGCAAACUUCUUUUUCUCCUCAUCACUUAACAAAAGUUCUACAAAAAAGAUCAAAAACCUAAAUUAGCACAGGUUGUAAUAAAAAAUUAGGUCCAAGUUCGUUUGAACAGAUUCUGAAAUUAGCACAACAAAAAAAUACAUAAUUCUAACCUGGUCUGUUGAAAUAAAUCCGCCGAUUAUGCUCAAUAUCUUCACACAAAUCUGCCAAGUAUUUUCCUAUACUGUUUCUGGCAUAGAUAAGGUAUUAUUAUUCAGCAUCAUAACAAACACAUGUCGCAGAUCACUUCCAAAGCUCUCAAAACUUCUCCUCACUAUAUCGUCAAUGUACUCUUGAUCCUCAUCUAAUAACCCACGAGCAAAACAUGCAUAUUUGUAUUCAGGAUAUAUAACACCAUUGAAGGUUUUAAUGUCUUCAUAACUGGUACGCCCUCUAACAACAUUCAACAACACACACAUCAUAUAGCUCUGACUCUUCGUCUUUAUUAGGGAUUUCCACACAAAUUAUCUUAUCAAUGUCAUCUGUGGUGGGAAACUUGAAUUCUGGAUGCAUGAAUAGCAAAAUAUGUGCGUGCGGCAAACCACGUUUCUGAAACUCAAUAGUGUACAUGGCUGUAAAAUUAGGUUUAGAAGAUCAGUUAGUGUAUGUAACCAAUUAAGAGGAAAAAAUCGAACACUAAUGCAGAAAUUAAAGAAAUAAAAAACAUCUACUUACAUGAAACAAUCUUCCCAAGAAUGUGUUUCUUUGUUAAAUCAUCCAUGAGUGAUUCAAGUUUCAUUUUGAAGAUCCUAGAAACAAUUUCUGAUCUAUCCUCUGCCUUCAAUUUUCUUUUCUCUAGAAACCUGGUGAUCUCUGGUCAUUUAGGAUUGCAUGUGUAAGUGAUGAACAGAUCCAGAAAUCCAAAAUGCUUACAAAUGGUCAUAUCAUCCAAAUAAUUGUUCUUCAUAUAUCUUGGACCACCAGUGAAAGAAGCUGGCAACACAAACUCAGUUCCUUGGUCAUGCAUAUCGAUUUUUCCUGCAGUCUCUGACUGUUUGAUAGAGUCAUAACUAUCAGAUCGCAAAGUUGACUGAUUAAACUUGAGAUAUCGUAGACGGUUCGACUCAAUAGUUGUGAAGGCAUCCACAACAAAUUGCUGAAACAGACGCCUAGCAUAUAAAAGAGUGUGCGACUCAUCCCUACACUCAUGAAGAUGAAAAGCAUAAUAUUGCCUCAUACUAAUUGUCUGCUUCUUCAGCUUCUUAGUAGCUUAUGUUACUCCUUUCUGAAUACCAAGCCUAAAUCCAUCUUCUCCAUAUAUAAAUAAUAGAGGAUACUGCAGUGCUAGAUAUGAGGAAUGUAUCUCAUUAAUCCUCAUUAAUUUUCCAGAAUGUUUCUGAAGCACUAUAUCCCUUUUAUCCAUAUCAAGAUUAAAAUCUCUAGGAAUCAAAGCUGCAACUUCUGAUGCUGUUGGUGUGUUGUAUGUUCUGCCAUCCUUUAGACAAUCACUAAUGAUCCUCAUAUGAAAAGCUUCUUGAGGAUUAGUAUUAAAUCGUUCUCCUGCUGAUCUGAAGUUCUUAACAUAUGGAUUCACUUCAUCUAAGACUUUCAUCAAAACUUCAAUAAUUUCUUUCCUCAAGUUGUCCUUUUUCUUGCAUUUAAAACUUCUUUUACCUUGGCUGCAGUUCAAACGCUAAUUAUUAGGUUAAAAUUCCUGUGAUACCAUAUCGAUCAUGUCAUGGUAGAAAUUAUAGAAGUUCAAUGCAAAGAGAAAUAUGUUUUAAAGGAGAAAUUAUACCUUAAGCAAUUGGCUCUGUUCUCAGCUUCAUUUUCAGUAUCACAGAUGUACAUCUGUCCAAAUUUGGCAUCUUUACCAUCUGGUGGUUUUAAACUAUCCAAAAGAUAGUAAUUUUCUCCUUGCAUUUGAAACAUCUCUGGCCCAACACCUUUUCUUAGAGAUCUUUCUACUUUUCCACCAAGCGAAGUAAAUGAGAAGACCAUGUUAUAGGCUCUGAUAUUUUUCUGAAAAUGCUUGCAUCUUCAAUCAAUCUUUUAAGUUCUGUUGGUGGAUCUUUUAAUAGAGGCAAAACUACCUCACCCACAACAGAGUGAAAAAAGAAGGAUUUUUACUAUUUUUACGCUUGUUUAUCCUUUCGCCAUACCACAUAAUAGCACCACAGUGAGAACAUGUAUAUGUUGGAUCACCUUCAUCAAUGUCAUCUGUAUAUUUGAAAAAAAUAUCUUAAAAAGUAAAAUGAUUCUAAGAGGUCAAAUUGACAAAUGACAAUGAAAUACAUAAUAAUGUUAACAUAAACUCAAUUCUUACCAUCAUCCUUUCGACAAGUUUUGGUUUUAUAACGCUUUGUUGCACGUGUACUUGUCCUCGAAUCAAUGAAUGAAUCUUUAUGAAAUUCAGUGUGAGGAGAACAUGUUUCCGACUCAACAGAAUCAUCAAAGUGGGCAUCCUCACUUUCUGUGCCUGAACUCUCUUGGGAACUAUAGUCAAACUCUAGAAAAUCAUCAAUUUCCUCAAUUACUCAUGCGUAUUAUUUAAAGAUCAAAAAUAUGUGUGUAAGCCAAAAGUGAUACAAAAGAAAUUUAGUAAUUCAGGCCACCUCUAAAAUCGAUAUUGCAGAGAUGUUAGCUGCAGUCAAGAUGUAAAACACAGUUCUGAUAUAAGUAAGUAACAUCUUUCAAUUUAGUUUGACGCCUUCAUAUUUAAUUUAGGUCUCGUAAAACUUUGAAGUAUAGAACACCGGUUACCUAUCUUCCUCAUGUGCUUGUUUGCUGGGGGUUUUGGAGUGGUUGAUAUUUUCCGUUCGAUAGAACCAAAUAAACCGAGAGAUGGACUGAUAGGCACGGGUAGUUGAGUUGUCCUUUGUUUAUUUGGUUUUUUCACAUGCUCUUCAUUUCCUUCACCUCUGUUUAAAUCUCUUGCUAUGAAUGUGUAAAAACAAUUCAAAUUUAAGUUGACAAGUAGGUGUAGACACUGAUUAUAAGAAAUUGGAAAUACAAUAUCACUACAUAAUAAUAUUUACUUACAUGAUAAUGCAGUAAGAAAGCUCCUCUGUUCUGGAGUAUAGUUAGAAGCAUUUGACGACAAACCCAAAACUUGCAAACAGAAUUAAAAACUCAAGAUUUCAAUAGGAAUUAUCACAAAUAGAAAUUACGAAAAUACAUACAUUAAC